GUAGAUCCCUCUAAAGGACAUGGCCGUGUUUUCCCCCUUAGGUCCUAGCUUUGUGUAGCUGUUGAGGAAAGAGUUCCCAGUGAAAGCAUUAAUUGCUGCCUGGCAAACUACCAGAGAGCCACAAGCCUAUCAGCUCAGUGCCCAGCAACAAGACCUUCCCUGGCUGAACAAUGUAAUACCAGCUUGGGGUUAUCAGAGUGUACCUUCACAACACAAUGCAGGGGACAGAGCAAACAGGGAAGCAACAGCAUCAGGGAAGAGAGGUAAUCUGCUGGAGAUAUGUAUGCAACUGGUUUUGUUUGACACUGAUUAUCUUAAUGCUCACAACCUCCAAUAAUGAAGAAUUCGUAAAAACUGAAGAUGUUCCCAGGUUAGAAGGUCCAGAUGAUCCAGAUCUAAAUUCAAAUCUUUCUUCAAAAACUGAAGGCAUUGAGCUUUGAGGAGUCAUGAAAUUUGACUCAGAGAUCCAAAAUACCAGACACUUAAUAAGGACCAUUCAUUCUCCAAGGGGAUCACAACCUGAAAUCCUGCUGAAAGGCUGGUGCUACAACAGAGGUCAAAGAGAGAGGAAAAGAGGUGAAUUAACUGGGAAAAAUGCCAGUUAUUGUCUUGAUC